AUUAAUUUGUCACACCAGUGGCUGCACUCAUCAAAAUUGAAAUUAACAAGUUCGUUUGAUUACUGCGGUAUAUAAGAAGCAUUUUGGCUUCUCCUAAGCGAGUCUAUUGUUGUGACGAUGUUACUUAAAACAUGGCUCCUCAUCUUGCUAACGUGUGUGGUAGCUGGGAGUGUAGGAGUCAGCAGCACUAUGAUACGCCAUCGCCACCACCACCACCGACGACGUCCCUUCAUCCUCGUGAACAAAAUGCCACGGGUCAGAGUCCCCAAAACAAUAAUCAUAUAACUAAAUCGUUUUGUUCAUACAAUUCACAAACUCAGUGACGUGGUGACAAGACAGUGUCAAAUAAAUAAAUGAUCCUCCAGCAA